rnacentral:rRNA from 1 species
CAAUAGCAUAUAUUAACGUUGUUGCAGUUGAAAAGCUCGUAGUUGAACUUUUGGUAGGAGCGACCUGGCCUUGGGCGCAUGCCCUUGUUUGCCGUGUGUCGUAUCUGGCCAUCCUUUUCUUCUUUUUGGAAGGAAUCUUUUACUGUGAGUAAACUGGAGUGCUCAAAACAAGACGUUUGUUUGGUACAUUAAAGCAUGGAAUAAUAAGAUAGGACCUGGUUACUAUUUUGUUGGUUUGCAUAGCUAGGUAAUGAUUAACAGGGACAGUUGGGGGUAUUCGUAUUUAAUUGUCAGGGGUGAAAUUCUUGGAUUUAUGAAAGGCGAACGACUGCGAAAGCAUUUACCAAGGAUGUUUUCAUUA